GCUCGCAAAAAAAGUCAUCGCAAAAAAAAGGCCACUCGUGCCUUAUCCAUCUCGCUCCGACCACUCGUGCCUCCACGCCGCUUGAUCCACCCCGACGCCGCCCUUGAUCUUCGCCGCCGCCGCCCCCUUCUGCGCCGGCGCCGCCCUCGCCCGGGCCGCAUCGUGGCGUUCCCGCCCUGCACCGCGCGCCCCCGUCCCCGCCCUGCACCGCGCGCCCCCGUCUCCGCUCCGCACCACCGCCGUCCUUCCCCGUCCCGCACCGCCGCCGUCCGUCCCCGCCCUGCACUGCCGCCGGCCGUCCCCGCCCGCCCCGCAUCGCCGUCGGCCGUCCCCGCCCGGCCCCAUCCCCGCACCGGCCCGGUCGUCCCUGCCCCCUUCCCGGCCCCGUCAUCCACACCCCCUUCCUGCCCCGCAGCUGCUGGUGAGGUGGCCGUGGCCGCGGCUCCGGCGGUCCGGCGCCCCCUUGCCGGCCCUCUGCUACUGGCUUUCUGGUGUUGCAUAUCUUUGGAGUCAUCGUCAUCGAAGGCAUUGGUCUGUGAUUUCGUCGCUGUUUGACUACUUCGUCUACAGUCGAGGGUUUGUGGAACAUGGGCAAGGGGAAGGCUGACGGCGUGGGUUUCCUACGCAAGGUCGUCAACAAGCCUAGGCUUCGGCGGACUUGGCGGUGGUGGUGGAUGUCCUGGCGCUUAAGCCUUUGGGUGACCGUGGUGGUGAUCAUAAACUUGUGGUCUUUAGAUGACUUGUGGUCUUUUAGAUGACUUGUGAUCUUUUAGAUGACUUGUGUGCUUCUUUAGAUGCUUAUGUUUGUGAUGAUGGUUAUGUUUGUCAUGAUACUUAUAUUGUUGUGAUGGUGUUUGUUGUGAGGAUGAUACUUAUAUAUGUUGUGUAUGUCUAUUUCAUCAUAUAUAUAUGCUGUGAAUUUGAAUUGAAACCAAA
rnacentral:rRNA from 1 species